rnacentral:rRNA from 1 species
CCUACGUGUGGCUGCAGUGGGGAAUAUUGCACAAUGGGGGGAACCCUGAUGCAGCGACGCCGCGUGGGUGAAGGAGUGCUUCGGCAUGUAAAGCCCUAUCGGCAGGGCAGAAGCAAGACGGUACCUGACUAAGAAGCCCCGGCUAACUACGUGCCAGCAGCCGCGGUACUACGUAGGGGGCGAGCGUUAUCCGUAUUCACUGGGUGUAACGGGAGCGUAGACGGCCAUGCAAGCCAGGGGGGAAAGCCCGGGGCCCCACCCCGGGACUGCCCUUGGAACUGUUCGGCGAGAGUGCGGGAGGGGCAGGCGGAAUUCCUGGUGUAGCGGUGAAAUGCGUAGAUAUCAGGAGGAACACCGGCGGCGAAGGCGGCCUGCUGGACCGCGACUGACGUUGAGGCUCGAAAGCGUGGGGAGCGAACAGGAUUAGAUACCCGUGUAGUC